UGGGGAAUCUUAGACAAUGGGCGCAAGCCUGAUCUAGCCAUGCCGCGUGAGUGAUGAAGGCCUUAGGGUCGUAAAGCUCUUUCGCCUGUGAAGAUAAUGACUGUAGCAGGUAAAGAAACCCCGGCUAACUCCGUGCCAGCAGCCGCGGUAAUACGGAGGGGGUUAACGUUGUUCGGAAUUACUGGGCGUAAAGCGCGCGUAGGCGGACAUUUAAGUCAGAGGUGAAAUCCCAGGGCUCAACCCUGGAACUGCCUUUGAUACUGGGUGUCUUGAGUUCGAGAGAGGUGAGUGGAAUUCCGAGUGUAGAGGUGAAAUUCGUAGAUAUUCGGAGGAACACCAGUGGCGAAGGCGGCUCACUGGCUCGAUACUGACGCUGAGGUGCGAAAGUGUGGGGAGCAAACAGGAUUAGAUACCCUGGUAGUCCACACCGUAAACGAUGAAUGCCAGUCGUCGGGCAGUAUACUGUUCGGUGACACACCUAACGGAUUAAGCAUUCCGCCUGGGGAGUACGGUCGCAAGAUUA
rnacentral:rRNA from 1 species